GUUCUGUGCGCAAAUCCAGCGGCGGAGGAUCAACCUGUUCUUCAUGUGAUGCCAUGAAAAUUGCAUUUCUUAGAUUUUUUUAAAAUCUUGCUCUACGUAUGAAGAUGAGUCUUAUCAAAGUUUUGAUAUUCCCACUAAAAUUAGGUAUGGUGCUUGGACUGUGGGCAGAUGUCCGAAGCGGUGUGAAGCAGUCCUUCCUUGAAGUCCCGAGGAUCAAGUUAUUUGGCGUGCUGGUUACUGUCGUGCAUAUAUUUUACUAGUGGGAAGAAUGCAAUUGUGUAAAACUUAAAUUCAAGGGGCAGACAGCUUGCUGUUUUUUUUGCUGUGUUUGCUGCACCUAGUGGAAGAAUCUGUGGGCAUCCUGAAAUGUGGAUGUGUUUUCCUAAUGAUCAGUUUUGGUGCCAGCGUUAGGACCUGCAAGUGACACCAGGAACUGUCAAAGGAGGGCAGGGGAAAGUACUGAGAUCUUCCGUUGAAAGAAAAUAUUGAAGAAAGAGAGAUGAGAGGAGAAGAAAUUAAUGCAUACACUGCAGGAACAGGACAACUAGUUUCCAGGGAUGAAGUUAGGGCUGCGCUGUAUGCUGAGUGUUCAUCAGUAGGUUUGGAUGCCCAACUGCACUGAGGGCAGUGAGAAGUGUCCUCCACCUCUGUCUGCUCAGCUGCACUUCAGCUGUUCCGUCACCCCCUGCGUCUGCAUACAGAAUAAAGAACUGAAGGUGAAGAUUCAGCAAUUGUAGGAGCUGUGAUCUCUGUGCAAGACUGAUGACUACAAAGGAGAGUGAAUUGUGGGUUGAAGUUGGUGUAAGUCUACACAGAACACAACAAUGACAUAUUGAUGGAAUGGGUAACAUGAUACUUGAACAGACUUUGGUGAGGGAACCAAACUCUGCUAUAAUCCUGAUUUGCAAUUGCACACUUUUCUUGGAGCCAGGUAUGCUCUGUGAUAUUCCAUUUUCUUUUCUGUCAUUUGUGUUGCCCACAGUAUCACGCAUUCACAGGUGUUGAAAGAGACCUCUGGGGAUCGUUAUGUCCUACCCCCUGCUAAAGCAGGUUCCCUACAUGAGAUUGCAGAGGAAGGCAGGCAGGUGCUCUGUCACCUUUGAAGUAAAGGACUUUGUUGUCAUGUUCGUACUGAACUUCCUGUGUUGAAGUUUGUGCCCAUUCUGCCUUGUCUUGUUGCUGGGUACCACAAAAAAAGGAGCCCAGCCACAUUCACUUGACUGCUACUCUUUAGAUAUUUCCAAGUGUUGGUAAGAUCUCCCCUCAGUCCCCUCUUCUCCAGGCUGAGCAGUCCCAUCUCUCUCAGCUGUUCCUCAUACAGGAGGUGCUCCAGGCCCACAGCCAUCUCUGUGGCCCUCUGCUGGUCUCUCUGAGUAGCUCCCUGUGUUUCUUGAACUGGGGAGCCCAGAACUGGGCACAGUGCUCCAGAUGUGGCCUCUCUAAUGACAGAAAUUCUGUUGACAGAAAACAUUCUUGACAGAAGUUGCCUAUUGUCAUUAGCUAAGCGUUUAUAAACUGCUCAUUUGGCACAUUUUUCUCCUGGAAACUGAAGAUUGUUGGCCUGUGCUGCAUGGUUCUUUUCAGUUAAAUCAGUUUGUCUGUUGGAGCAGCUGCACUCUGGACACUUAUGAAGUGAUCCAGUGUGAAUGAAGUUAGACUUUGUUGGACAAUGUAAGCCAUACUUUGCUAUAAUUGUAGUUUAAACUAUAGUUUACCAUUAUAGUAAACUAUAAGCAAACUUUACAGUUGUAUGUUUGAACUGACAUAACUCAGUGUUCAGUGAUGGGUGAAGAGUUGUAGGACUUCAUAAUUAUUGUUGCUUUUUUUUUUUUUUUUCUGCCAAAGGAAGAGUAACACUGACAUACAACUUUUUUUUGCCAGCUGAUGAGCAUAGCUGUUCACUCUGGCAGUGCUGUGUACCCUUAUCUGUGCAGCCACAGACUUGUUCUAAGUGCCCUUGGGCUUACUGGCUGCUUUGAGGUGGAUCUAUCUUUCUCACUUGUUAAGAGUAACUUGAAAACAAUUUUGUUUUCUCAAAGUAUUGAACAGGUAGUACAUUUUAGACUGAGUGUUUGGUUAUUUGAGAAGCCUUCUAUGUAAGAUUUCUCUUUCUGUUCCAUUGCUCUGCAAACCAAGUAGUAUUGUUGAAAUAAACCAAUUAAGUUAAAGUGGGCUUUAUUUAUUUUAAGUAGCAGUUUGUACAUGUUUUUCCAGCCAUACUUGCAGCAUUUGUGGAUUUCAGCCUCGGGAGAAAAAAAAGAGGAAAGAGUAAUCAAAACCAAAUGUCUUUGAAUGCUUUGUUUUCUUGGUCUUUGUUUAAUGGUGACUUA